rnacentral:rRNA from 1 species
UACGAGAGGCCCAAACGUUAUUCGGAAUUACUGGGCUUAAAGAGUUCGUAGGCGGCGCAGAAAGUAGGGUGUGAAAGCCCUCGGCUCAACCGAGGAAUUGCGCUCUAAACUACUGUGCUUGAGGAAUCUAGAGGUGAGCGGAACUGAUGGUGGAGCGGUGAAAUGCGUUGAUAUCAUCAGGAACACCGGAGGCGAAGGCGGCUCACUGGGGAUUUUCUGACGCUGAGGAACGAAAGCCAGGGGAGCGAACGGG